ACACUGAUUAUUAUUUAAAAAAUCGUAGCAAUAUGUGAUACUCUUUCACAGGAAUACGAAUGUUGUAGGAAACAAGAAUCUUUCUCUAUUAAUAAGUCGAUUAUUGUCUAUCACGUACCACACCACAAUUAUGCUUCUUGUCGUACAAUUGAACUGACAACUGAACCUUACCAAGUUACCAAUCUUACUAUAUCACGUGAUCAGAAGCCAUUAAGCCAAUCAGUUUCUCACUUCUACCACGCGAUUUUUGAUCACGUGACACGGUAACGUUUAAUGACGCAGCAAGAAGCGACGUAAUGUACACGAUAGUUAAUCAACAAUAGAGAAACAUUCAUUGUUUAGCGUAACAUUCGUAUUUCUGAGGAAGAGUAUCGCACAUAUUGCUACGAUUUUUCGACUCCUAGUGUUUCUGGUCAGUUAUUACACAAAUAUAAGAGGAAGCGGAUGUGGACGAGUGGCAAAUAAUACACCGAAACAAUAAAUUUCACCAUAAACGACAGAGGUGAAUAUUUGUUUAUCAACGGUCAUAUAAUGUCAAAAAGAAAAAGAGGACCUUAUAAAAGAUAUCUGCUAGACGAUUCUAACGAAAUUCCUGUAACAACAAGACGUUCUCGUCUAACAGCGAAAAAA